rnacentral:rRNA from 1 species
CGGGACACGUGGUAUCCUGUCUGAAUAUGGGGGGACCAUCCUCCAAGGCUAAAUACUCCUGACUGACCGAUAGUGAACCAGUACCGUGAGGGAAAGGCGAAAAGAACCCCGGCGAGGGGAGUGAAAAAGAACCUGAAACCGUGUACGUACAAGCAGUGGGAGCCUCUUAAUGGGGUGACUGCGUACCUUUUGUAUAAUGGGUCAGCGACUUAUAUUCUGUAGCAAGGUUAACCGAAUAGGGGAGCCGAAGGGAAACCGAGUCUUAACUGGGCGUUAAGUUGCAGGGUAUAGACCCGAAACCCGGUGAUCUAGCCAUGGGCAGGUUGAAGGUUGGGUAACACUAACUGGAGGACCGAACCGACUAAUGUUGAAAAAUUAGCGGAUGACUUGUGGCUGGGGGUGAAAGGCCAAUCAAACCGGGAGAUAGCUGGUUCUCCCCGAAAGCUAUUUAGGUAGCGCCUCGUGAAUUCAUCUCCGGGGGUAGAGCACUGUUUCGGCAAGGGGGUCAUCCCGACUUACCAACCCGAUGCAAACUGCGAAUACCGGAGAAUGUUAUCACGGGAGACACACGGCGGGUGCUAACGUCCGUCGUGAAGAGGGAAACAACCCAGACCGCCAGCUAAGGUCCCAAAGUCAUGGUUAAGUGGGAAACGAUGUGGGAAGGCCCAGACAGCCAGGAUGUUGGCUUAGAAGCAGCCAUCAUUUAAAGAAAGCGUAAUAGCUCACUGGUCGAGUCGGCCUGCGCGGAAGAUGUAACGGGGCUAAACCAUGCACCGAAGCUGCGGCAGCGACACUAUGUGUUGUUGGGUAGGGGAGCGUUCUGUAAGCCUGUGAAGGUGUACUGUGAGGUAUGCUGGAGGUAUCAGAAGUGCGAAUGCUGACAUAAGUAACGAUAAAGCGGGUGAAAAGCCCGCUCGCCGGAAGACCAAGGGUUCCUGUCCAACGUUAAUCGGGGCAGGGUGAGUCGACCCCUAAGGCGAGGCCGAAAGGCGUAGUCGAUGGGAA